rnacentral:rRNA from 1 species
AUCAACUUUCGAUGGUAGGAUAGAGGCCUACCAUGGUGGUAACGGGUAACGGGGUGUUAGGGCACGACACCGGAGAGGGAGCCUGAGAAACGGCUACCACAUCCAAGGAUGGCAGCAGGCGCGCAAAUUACCCAAUCCCGACACGGGGAGGUAGUGACAAUAAAUAACAAUACGGGGUUCUUUAGGAUCUCGUAAUUGGAAUGAGUACAAUUUAAAUCUCUUAACGAGGAACAAUUGGAGGGCAAGUCUGGUGCCAGCAGCCGCGGUAAUUCCAGCUCCAAUAGCGUAUAUUAAAGUUGUUGCAGUUAAAAAGCUCGUAGUUGAAUUUCGGGGUCAGUAGGUUGGUCGUGCCACAGGUAUGAACUGGUCUCACUGAUUCCUCCUUCCUGAUGAACCGUAAUGCCAUUAAUUUGGUGUUGCGGGGAGACUGGACUGUUACUUUGAAAAAAUUAGAGUGUUUAAAGCAGGCUAACGCUUGAAUACAUUAGCAUGGAAUAAUGAAAUAGGACGUUCGGUCUUAUUUUGUUGGUUUCUAAGAUUGACGUAAUGAUUAAUAGGGAUAGUUGGGGGCAUUAGUAUUCAAUUGUCAGAGGUGAAAUUCUUGGAUUUAUUGAAGACUAACUACUGCGAAAGCAUUUGCCAAGGAUGUUUUCAUUAAUCAAGAACGAAAGUUAGGGGAUCGAAGACGAUCAGAUACCGUCGUAGUCUUAACCAUAAACUAUGCCGACUAGGGAUCGGAUGAUGUUAAUUUUUUAAUGACUCAUUCGGCGCCUUACGGGAAACCAAAGUGUUUGGG